rnacentral:rRNA from 1 species
AACGAACGCUGGCGGCGUGCCUAAGGCAUGCAAGUCGUGCGGAAAGGCUCCUUCGGGAGCACUCGAGCGGCGCACGGGUGAGUAACGCGUGGGUAUUCUGCCUAAGGGCUCGGGACGACUCCGGGAAACUGGAGCUAAUACCGGAUAAGACCACGGGGCCUUCGGGUCCUGCGGUAAAAGGUGGCCUCUGCUUGCAAGCUACUGCCCAUUGCUGAGCCCGCGUCCCAUUAGCUCGUUGGUGGGGUAACGGCCUACCAAGGCGACGAUGGGUAGCUGGGCCGAGAGGAUGAUAAGCCACACUGGAACGGAGACACGGGCCAGACGCCUACGGGAGGCAGCAGUGGGGAAUUUUGGGCAAUGGGCGAAAGCCUGACCCAGCAACGCCGCGUGAGGGAUGAAGGCCCUCGGGUCGUAAACCUCUGUCGGGAGGGGCGAACGGUCGCGAUUCGAACAGGGUCGCGGCCUGACGGUACCUCCAAAGGAAGCACCGGCUAACUCCGUGCCAGCCGCCGC